AGAGUUGAGUUGGUGAAAACGCAUUUAGAAAAAAAAGGUUGCCCGCACUGGUUGAUAAACGUACGAAGUCCACAAAAGUUCGUGUCCUCAUAUUAGUUCCAUUGCUAUCGAGGUCAAUUGCGUAUACUCCCGUAGUGGAUUAAACUGAAAGCUAUCGUUUUUCAACAGCUAUAAUCGUGAAUAAUACAGGUUCCUAGUGCGAAAAGCUGAAAUUUGCACCAAAGAAACAGAGUGUCAGUGUGUGUGUGCGUGUACUUGUUCGUGGUGUGAUCUCUCGUUGCGUUCGUAGUCAGCAGGGAAAAUCAUUUCAGUGUGCGCUCGUGUGCAUUUCUGUGUGUGUGUGCAUUUUAAACGGGCAAAUAUAUUGUGCGUGCGUGUGAAAGAAGUGAAGUAACGGCAACAUAUACCAGCAACGUAGCAAAAGAGCGAUCGAGUGGAGCAGAAGGAAGGAGCAACCGUAAAAAUGCAUACGUUCAGUGAGACGGGUGCAGGAGUACCUGCAUUUCUGGCGAAACUGUGGCGCCUGGUCGAAGACACCGAGACGAACGAUUUGAUAUCGUGGAGCACGGAUGGCCGGAGUUUCAUCAUACAAAAUCAGGCCCAGUUUGCCAAAGAACUGUUGCCCCUGAAUUACAAACACAACAACAUGGCGAGCUUUAUUAGGCAGCUGAAUAUGUAUGGUUUCCACAAAAUCACCUCCAUCGACAAUGGCGGUCUGCGGUUUGACAAGGACGAGAUGGAGUUCACACAUCCCUGCUUCCAAAAGGAUCACCCGUACCUGCUGGAGCACAUUAAGCGUAAGAUCGCGACAUCGAAGCAGCAGCAACUGCAGGCACAGCAGCAGAUGGAGGACAAGAGUGCGCUGAAGCUGGAAGCGGUCAGCCGUGUGCUGAGUGAGGUGAAGCAUAUGCGCGGCCGGCAGGAUACGCUCGAUUCGCGCUUCCAGACGAUGAAGCAGGAGAAUGAGGCACUGUGGCGCGAGAUAGCUAUCCUGCGCCAGAAGCAUCACAAGCAACAGCAGAUUGUCAAUAAGUUGAUACAAUUCUUGGUGACGAUCGUGCAACCGUCCCGCAGUGGACUUGGCUCUAUGGGCAAUGGCAGCAACAAGCGUCGAUUCCAACUAAUGAUCAACGAUGCCCCACAGCAGGCAAAGCUGAAGAAAUCGGAUUACGACGAUGGCGCAACAAUCGAGGAACUGAACGAAGCGCUCGAGGAAGUAGCGUACGCAAAUCAGCAAGAAUUACUGUCAAAGCAAGACAAGAGCAAGAAACACGUUAUUCCCAUCAUAACCACCGGUCAGAUUGUUCGCACGUCUCGUACCGCUGAAGAUGAUUCGGGAGCUAGUACUGCUUCGGGUUCGUCCGGGUCCGCCGUGGUCGGGAAAGGCACAAAGCCUAGUAACAGUGUCGGUGGUAGCAGUGGUGGUAGCGUGAUCUUUAAGAAGCUCAAUGGUGUUAGCAUUGUUAAGAAGGAUAAAAACGCGCCAAGCGGUGGUGAUCAAGCAAAGAAGGGGACCAGGAAUUCGGAAAUACCGGAGGUUAGCUCACCGAUGUCGAUGCCGGAGCGGUCCCCUUACCAUCGCACGGCGACGCCGUCCAUGUCCGGUGGUAGCAGCAGCUCCCGGAGUAGCAACAGCAGCAGUGGAAGCGGUGUUGGCGGCGGCGACGGCGGCGGCGGUGGAGGAGUUGGAUCAUUGAACUACAGUGGGGGAAAUGAAACGAUUGAGGAAAUAUUUUCCGAAUCACCAAUCCCGUUCCGUAGUGCUGGUGGCGAUGCUGGACAGAGCGGAUCGCCGGUGACGUCAAGGGUUGGUAAAAUGGACACCAGCGAUCAGGAUCGGCAGCCAAAGUAUGCAACACGCUCCAGGAAUGUGGGUGAGCGUGGCCGAGGAGGUAACAAUGUGCCGGCCAACUUAAUUCAGCUUAUCGAAAGCACUAUCGAUGGCGAGGAGCUAGAGAACCGCUACGGUGAACCGCUGGAGGAAGAGAACGAUGACGAUGAGCACGGAUAUUUGGUCGAUCAUGUGGACGAGAUAGAUCCGACGAUCGUGCAGCUGUACAAUCAGGAGAACGAUAAUGAAAUGAUGCUAAACACACCCAUGGUGAUCAAGGAGAUGGAAAAACAGCAGCAGCAGCAGCAGCAAAAGCAACAAAAGCAACGCCAGCAAGUUGGAACCAAACGUGGAGAGAGUUUGUUGAAAGGAAACGGCGCAGAUAAUAGACGCAACAACGAACGAGGACAGGCAAUAUCGAAUGCGCCCCGUUCCCAGGGCAGAAGUCUGCUCUCUUCUGUUGCGAAUCCUCCGUCCAAGGCUGGUGGAAGUGGAUUAAAAUCUUCCAAUCCAACUUCAGCGCCAGAAAUUCCGUCUCUGAUUAUGACCCGCGGCGGUAAAAAGCUGGCUAUGGCAAAGAAGCAAGCAAUCUCCACCAACGAACAGCAGCAGCAGCAGCAGCAACAACAGGAAGACGCAUCGUCGCCCGGACCAUCCGGAUUCAAUCAGCGAGAUCAACAGCUGAACGUUAACAUUGCUAAUACGCCCUCACCAUCGUCCGUUGCUUCGGACGGUUUGUCGUUCGCCUCGGACAACAACGGUUACAUUGCAGCGACCGACAUUGUGCCCGGCGAUAUAUUCGAGGACAGCAGCGAUCACAAAGGUGGUGGCAUUGUAAAGAAUGAGAACAAUCCUUCUCCGAUGCUUAGCAGCGGGUUUAACUUCAUCGACGGCGGCUACUACAAUCCGAACGUGAACAUCACGCAGAUGAAGGCUGGUCGGCAACAGCAGCAGCAGCAACAGCAGGUGCAGGCACCGCAGAACAACCAGCAGCAACAGCAGCAGUCGUCACCUUCGGUUAGCCAAAUGCUCCACGGGGAAGAUGCAGAGUACGACGAGAACUCGCUCGAUUCGUCGCUACUGCUCAACCGAGCCUCAUCCCAGGCGGGCAACGGCGACACCACGGAUCAGCAAAUAUCCAAGUUUGUCAGCAAUGAUCUAGACGUGUCCCGUCUGAACACGGUGGCCGAGUAUGGGCAGCACAUCGACUCGGUACAGAACGACCUGGAAUCGCUGAAGGAGCUGCUCAAGGGCGAAGGUUACCAGCUCGACGCUAACGCACUGCUCGGGAACGCAUGCUCUACCGCACCUCCGUUCGGACGCGUGUACUUCCCGUCGUGCCCGUUCGAUCUGGAUACCAUCAAUAAGGUUAGAACCGAUCUAUUCAACAACAACGAAGACAUGCUGGGUUACGACUUCCCGAUGAACCUGCCGGACAUGAUGACCGACGAUCAUCAGCAGCAGCUGUUACAGCAGCACCACCAGCAGCAGCAGCAGCAGCAGCAAGCACAAACGUUGUCUCAGCAGCAGCAGCAGCAACAGCAGCACCAUCAGCAGCAGCAGAGCAACAACAGCAGUGAAAAGUCUGCCCCAUCCAGCAGUCCGACACCCGGAAUGUCUGUUGCGAUGCAAAGAUAUGGUUGAUAAGUUGAUAAACAGAAGCAUAAUGGAAAUUGAGAACACUGAGAUAAAAAAAAGAGAUAGGAGGAGGAUUGUGUGUGUGUGUGUGUGUGGGCAUGGCAGGAUUUAAAAUCUUCGAAUCGCGAGCUCAAAUGCAAUAAUGCGUGCAGGCAGUGCAGAGCAUCAUGAAUGGUGAUGGCAACAUAACACAUGGUUUGCGCCGUGCAUUGUCUACCAAAUAACACCACAUCACGCGCGCUCUAAGCGUGUGUGAGGCAACAAACAUCAAUGAGCAUAAAGUGCAUGGUGAUAAUGGUCUGCAAAAAGGCAAACAAAAACAAAGCAAAAAAAAAAUGCAAAUGCAAAACAGAGAGUAAGAAUGAUGAUGGGCGAUCCAUGUAGUCGUUAUCACCAAUCGUGAGCGAGAGAUCAGUUUUUGGUGCACGCACUGUAUCAGCGGGAAAAGGGCCUUCGAGUUUCGGUUCCGUACUGUGGUUUCCUGGUGUUCUUCCGGUCGUUGUCAUUGUUGUUCCGCGAUCUAAUCUGAUGGUUCUGGUGGCCAAACGCAGAAACAAAAAAAAAACAAAUGUAAAGGACACACACCGAUGAUGUUUGAUCCGCCCCGAUUGCUGUGUUGGCGCGUAGCUGCCGAAUGCUGUCGUGGCGUCUGAGAGCGAGAGGGAAACUUGGCUGCCGACGCCGUCGUUGUCGUUAUUUGUGGGGCUACUACUUCUCCUGUGCGAUUCGAGCGAUUGCGUGUAUGUGCGUAAAUGGGCGAGCGAGAGAGAGAGAGAGAGAAAUAGAUAGAGGCAGGCAAGAAAAAGGGGAUCAGGCGAUGGUGCGCAAAUGACACGCGAGUCAAGCCGCGGGGGCGCGAUGAUGUUCUGCCAAAACGCGUUUGUGGGCUAUCCCUCAAAAGAGUCUCAGUCACCCACCUGUGCAACAAGGAGGACACAUUUCACCUGUACCGUCUGCACACACCCAGCUUAUGACGUUCAAGCUGAACGGUGGUGAUCCCGUCGGUGGAAAUAACAACCUGCCGAAUGGCAUUCUUGGCAUCGGGCUGCACGGCAACGGUGGUAAUGGCGGCAUGCACGGUAUCAACGGAAACGGCCACAUUAACGUGGGAAACGGUGUCAUCGGUAGCGGUAGUGGUACCCUGGGCAUUGUGUCGGGCGAUUACAUCGAUCUGAACGAGCUGCUGAACAUGGACGCUCACUGCGGUGGAAACGAUGAUGAGCAUUCGCUCGUCGCCUAAACCACCAGCCAGCAGUACCAGCAUUUCUGCCGAUGUUCUUCAAUUAUUGCAUGUCGAUUAGCAGUUACUACUACUGUGACUACCCUUCGACCGUUUGCGACUCUUGCCGUUGUGAAAUCGUCUAUAUGAACAACCAACAACUACUCCUAUGAUCUAUUUGGCAAAAAAAAUGUGUGUCUGUGUCUGUGUGUUAUGAAUGUCAACGCCCGUUUCCCCGACACCACCAACCCCCACAUCCACCGCUCAUCAGCAAUUCAGCUCGGCCCCCUGUUUUGCUCGGUCCCCCCCCAGCACAGGAAAGCGAGCGAGCGAGCAGCGCUCGAUCAGCAGGAGAAGAAGAGGAACACGGAUGAACCGGAUUGCGCAACAACAAGUGACACGCUGCGCGACCACGCGAAGUACAUCGGCAAGCUUAAAGGCCUGUGCGAAAGGCAAAGCACCAGCAAGAAAAACCAAACGGAAACGAACCGACAAAAGAAAGAGGCCAUCCCGUGUGAGGUGAGACGAUAAAAGCAGUUAGUUAAGUCAAAGCUUUCUGCAACAAAAAUCUCCUGCCGUUCAGCAAUUUAACAGCCGUCGUCUUUGAGACACCUGUCACGGCAAACCAACAGUAGAGCGAAUGCUCCCUUCGUUCUAAAAGAUGGAUGUUCCGUGUGUUCUGUCUGACCUAACACCAUUCCCGGGCGCAAGUCGAACAGUUGUGUUACCCGUUUAAGGGUAGCGAAAACUCUAGACCACGGAAGAAUGGUUUUCCGAUCCGCCGUUUCUGGUCCCAGAAACGCGAUAACUAUUAAGACAUGGCUCGAAAUGUGUGCUUUUUUUUCGCUUGUGUGUAAGCCCAAAUGAUACGAUGGGAAACUAUGAUUACGAAAGGAUCUCUUUGCUCUUAAGGGAUGUUUUUUGGGUGCGCCGUUAUAAUAAUAGUGGUCGCUCCAGCAGGAGGACAUUUGAUUGUUCGAUUUUACAUCUGCUACCGGUUUCGGCCGCAUCAGUCCUCAGGAAAACUUUUUUUUGAGACAUUGUGCGCGAUACUUCAAAUCGAGGCCGGAUAAGCUAGUAACAGCAGCAGGGAAGGAAGGAUCGAUCGUGAAACAAAAUAAAUUUUAACAUAAACAAACGGAAACCAGAGCUCAAAACAAACCCCACAACAGGGACAGUGGAGAUGAUAUUACCGGGAUGUGAAACUUUGAAAGUGAGAGCAAACGCAAACGUCCUCGAAGGACACUUAUACAGAGGGAAAGCGCAGGGAGGAAAUCUACAGCCCUUAAAAUUAAAACAGAUACAUAUAUGCGGUAAUUUGCCGUCACACUUACCCCUGUAGCCCCCCAAAAUACAAAGAACGAUAAAAGAAGGAGAAAAAAAAGAAGAAAAAAAAAAGAAAACCUCAGGAUGCACUUGUUGGGGCUGAGGUAAAUGAUUAGUAUAAGCCCAGGUGAAGGAUAACGUUUUGCGUUUAAUGUACACAGCUAUACAACCACUCCAGGUGUACAAGAGUUAGAUGAGAUGUAGGUUAUAUAUUUUCUGUUAACAUAAACCCGUGUGUUAAGUUUGCUUCCACCAAUGAAUGGAUUUUGAGUUGAGUGUAGUUAAGUUAAGCUGUUUUACGUUUUUAAAAUAAUGAUUCUCCUUUAGCGUUGUAUUCGCGCCAGUGUUGUGCGGUUUGGUUUGUGGUAGAGCAUAGGAAUGUUCCCCGCCGACACGGAAAUCGGGGACAUGAUUUGCAAAUUUAAGUUAAUUUUCCUGCUCGUGUCAGACAGACAUGCAGAGAGUGACAUGUGGAAAGGUAUAAUAUACUAGUGUGUAGUGGUAGCGAUAGCGAUAAAUUUGUUAUUUUUAUAUGCGUUCUCCGACCUAUGGUUCAAACAGGAAAGCUGUCUUUUCCACAAAGAAACAAGAAUUAUGUUGCAAACAAAGCAAAACACAACAAUAUUGUCAGGCAAAAACUGAACUCUACCUUAGCCUGUAAAUACACAAGCAGCCACACACACACACACAGACAAAGUGUGUGUGUGUGCCGUGAAGUAGAAGAGAUUGUAUGAAAUCGCGUACCUGAGACAUUCAGCGAGUAGAACACACUCACAGUGGUAGACAGAAGAGAGGGAGCGUGUGAUGAUGGCAGUCGUAGUAGUAGUAGUACUUCGCCGUGUUUGUGCAUAAGUUCCCAAGGUCCCCCCGGGGAAUAUACUUACCCGGGGUUUGGUAUACAAGUCAGUUCAGUUCAGUAUCUCUUCUACUGCUACAGAUUCAAAAAGAUGACAAAAGAGAGAGAAAGAGAGAGAGAUAGGGCCUCACAUACAGCUAUAUAAAACCUUAGUUGAAUUAAUCCUGUUUCGAGAUCGAGUUUCUUAUAGGGUUGUAUAAUAUUUUGCGUAUUACUCUUACGUUCUACUAGCACACACGCAGUAGGCGUGUGUGUGUGUGUUUAAUAUGGUGAAGGAACAAAACACAAGCAUAUUAAUCUUACGGCAUACUGUUUCUAUGUUACUAUUGUCUAGUUAAGUUAGGCUACUAGAUCUAAACUCCAUGCACGCAAAAAGAAGAAACACGCACACACACACGCGCGCGUACAUAUAAUUAAUACUAUUUACUACCACUACAAAAACACACCGUUAUGUCGUCCCUCCUUUAUCGUUUACUAUUGUUUCUGUACCCUCGAUCGUUAUCCUUUCUUUCCUAUUGCAUUUUUGGGGUGCGUGUGUGUGUGUGUAUGCAGUUUGUUGCAAGAUUGCGACCGACAAUACUGCAUUUGUGAAAUGGUAACAAAAAAAAAAUUGAACGAAUCCCCCCCUUUUACCUUUUUACUCCCAUUUCCCAUUUCACAAGCUGUGUAUUAUAAAGUGUAAAGUUUUGUUCUCGAUAAGUGCUACUGUUUUUUUGUUUCUGUGUGUUUUCUUGUGUUUGAUCUACCUCCGCUUAAAUUGUUUGAACAAGCAUAUACUUUUUGAGAAAUAAUUAUCGAUUAAACCUAUCGUUAGUGUUUUGUUUUGUGCCGAUGAUUACGAUGCAGUACAUACAGAGAGAGAGAGAGACAACACUAAAUACAAAGAAUUGUAGGGCCCGGCCAGAUGUGGGCCGCUUUGCUGUAAUACACACACUGAUACGAAAUAAUUCAAAUUCAGGUAUAGGAUGUAAUAUGUGAGUAAUGAAGCAAACAGCAAAAAAAAAAGAAGGAUUUAAUCGCUAAGAACACACUGUAUUCUCCCGUUUGAAGUCAAAUACACGGUCAUAUGAGAAUUUGCCG